GAUGAACGCUGGCGGCGUGCCUAAUACAUGCAGGUCGAGCGAACGGACGAGAAGCUUGCUUCUCUGAUGUUAGCGGCGGACGGGUGAGUAACACGUGGAUAACCUACCUAUAAGACUGGGAUAACUUCGGGAAACCGGAGCUAAUACCGGAUAAUAUUUUGAACCGCAUGGUUCAAAAGUGAAAGACGGUCUUGCUGUCACUUAUAGAUGGAUCCGCGCUGCAUUAGCUAGUUGGUAAGGUAACGGCUUACCAAGGCAACGAUGCAUAGCCGACCUGAGAGGGUGAUCGGCCACACUGGAACUGAGACACGGUCCAGACUCCUACGGGAGGCGGCAGUAGGGAAUCUUCCGCAAUGGGCGAAAGCCUGACGGAGCAACGCCGCGUGAGUGAUGAAGGUCUUCGGAUCGUAAAACUCUGUUAUUAGGGAAGAACAUAUGUGUAAGUAACUGUGCACAUCUUGACGGUACCUAAUCAGAAAGCCACGGCUAACUACGUG
rnacentral:rRNA from 1 species